rnacentral:rRNA from 1 species
UGGCGCACGGGUGAGUAACACGUAAGUAAUCUACCUUUUUUGUGGGGGAUAACGUAGGGAAACUUACGCUAAUACCGCAUACGCCCUUCGGGGGAAAGCGGGGGCCCAGCAAUGGCCUCGCGCAGAUAGAUGAGCCGAUGUCCGAUUAGCUAGUUGGCGGGGUAAAGGCCCACCAAGGCGACGAUCGGUAGCUGGUCUGAGAGGACGACCAGCCACACUGGAACUGAGACACGGUCCAG